rnacentral:lncRNA from 1 species
CAGAGACAUACCAGAACUCAGGACUUCAACUCUCCGGUCAGUUCUCUGACUAGUAUAUACUACACUGUCUCGUCAGAUAUUAAUUUGGCAACUACAUGGAAGGGAUGUAGAGGAAGGGAGAUAAGACCAUCUAAAGGACAAUCAACUCCGUUUCUCCUUGAAACAAAAAUCAACACAUUUAACAACAUUCUUCUGGCCAUGGCAUAUGGCUUCAAAUGGUGGAAUAUCCAGUCUCUGAAGAUUCAAAACUAUGGGUUACCCAAAAGGAAACUGAGACACACAAGAUAGGAGAAAAAAAAAGGAUAAAGACACCUCCCUUUCAUUGAGAGCUGUUCCUAAUGCAGACACUGGUUUCAAAUGUUCCGGGGACACAAGGAUUGGAAAAUGGAAAGUCCAAAAUCUUUCAGAUUCCUCAAUGUUUACAAGCCGCUCCGUCAUCUGGGAAUGGGAGCUUCUUGGAAACACUCAAGUUUAAAGGAGUUUAAAAGUUAAAGUAGCCUGAAAAAAACUGUGGUUUCUCUACCUUCCAGAAAGUCUAUAUGCUACAUAUUAUAGCCAUCAAUUGCUGGCCUUGAACAUAACAAAUGCAUUAAUAAACCUGGAAUCUUGAACUUGGAAGAUAGCUUG